AUUGAACGCUGGCGGCAGGCCUAACACAUGCAAGUCGCGCGAGCGGCGGACGGGUGAGUAAUGUAUGGGGAUCUGCCUGAUGGAGGGGGAUAACUACUGGAAACGGUAGCUAAUACCGCAUACCAUCAGAUGAACCCAUAUGGGAUUAGCUAGUAGGUGAGGUAACGGCGCACCUGGGCGACGAUCCCUAGCUGGUCUGCGAGGAUGAUGAGCCACACGGGAACCGAGACACGGUCCAGACUCCUACGGGAGGAAGCAGUGGGGAAUAUUGCAAAAUGGGCGCAAGCCUGAUGAAGCCAUGCGGCGUGUAUGAAGAAGGCCUUCGGGUUGUAAAGUACUUUCAGUCGGGAGGCGUUACCGACAGAAGAAGCACCGGCUAACUCCGUGCCAGCCGCCGCGGUAAUUC
rnacentral:rRNA from 1 species